rnacentral:rRNA from 1 species
GAUGAACGCUAGCGGCAGGCCUAAUACAUGCAAGUCGAACGGGAUCUGAGGGUAGCUUGCUACCCGAUUUGAGAGUGGCGCACGGGUGCGUAACGCGUGAGCAACCUACCGAUAUCAGGGGGAUAGCCCGAAGAAAUUCGGAUUAAGACCGCAUAAUAAUACGCUAACACAUGUUGAUGUAUUUAAAUAUUUAUAGGAUAUGGAUGGGCUAGGGUGACAUUAGCUAGUUGGUAAGGUAACGGCUUACCAAGGCGACGAUGUCUAGGGGCUCUGAGAGGAGAAUCCCCCACACUGGUACUGAGACACGGACCAGACUCCUACGGGAGGCAGCAGUAAGGAAUAUUGGUCAAUGGGCGCAAGCCUGAACCAGCCAUGCCGCGUGCAGGAUGACUGCCCUAUGGGUUGUAAACUGCUUUUGUUAGGGAAUAAACCUUCUUACGUGUAAGGAGCUGAAUGUACCUAAAGAAUAAGGAUCGGCUAACUCCGUGCCAGCCGCCGCUGUAA